AAACGCGUUUGUACAAUUUGGCGGCACUGUGUAAGAUGUUGCAGACAUAAUUUUGCUCAGCCCAAAGUCGAAAACAUUUUGAUUACAAAUGGCUGUCCACGUGGAUUCUUACAGCUCUUCCCCAGUUGAAGGACAAUUCAGCGACGUCGAAGAUGAAAAAGAAUCAGUUGUUGCUGAAGGUAUUCAACAACUACAGAUAGGGGCGAAGGUUGAGGUACCAUCCCUUAGCGACAACGAAGACUAUUCUGACGAUUCAGAUUUGAGUGACGAACAAUUUUAUGACUGGCAAUAUGAUCAGGGACCUCAAAUUAGAGUACAGGGAGCUCAUCCGAACCAGCAAAUGAGUU